rnacentral:snoRNA from 1 species
CCUGGGCCAGUAGCCGAGAUUUGCUACAACCCGUUCGACGUCUCUUACUUCCUGCAACCCAGCCCAGUAAUCUUUCGCUUACAAAAAAGUGCGAAAGUAACUGUCAUCAAAAUUUAAGUUUCAUAGGAAAUAAGACAAUGGCUGAGCGUCAGAAGGGUACCGUCAAGUGGUUCAAUGACGAAAAAGGUUACGGCUUCAUCACCCCAGAAAGCGGUCCGGAUCUCUUCGUUCACUUCCGCGCUAUCGAAGGCAACGGCUUCAAGAGCCUGAAAGAAGGCCAGCAAGUCACCUUCGAAGCAGUCCAAGGCCAGAAAGGCAUGCAGGCUGACAAGGUUCAACCUGUCUGAUCCAGCGCCAGACUUUGAAAAGCCCCUGCCAAGUGCAGGGGCUUUUUUUUG